UUUAGGCUCUUAUUAUAUUUUAUUAUAACUGGUUACGGUUCAGUAGAUUUUCGGGUUUUAG
rnacentral:tRNA from 1 species